AGUUGAGUUGAGUUGAGUUGCACUUAUUAAGGUACUAUGGAAACAAUACAGAGUUUAGAAUGUUUUACUGGUCGUUAAUAUUCUGGGAUCUUACUCUAUUUAGUUUGUUGAAGUUGGUUCCAAUCAAAAUUCUUAGCGUAUUCUGUAGUGGGAUUUAUUCUCGAAAUGAUUCAGAUAGAAGUAGGGAGAUGCUUAUGGGUUUACCAUGGGAUACUGAUAUCCAGCAGCAGGCUUCUAUAAUUCAUCAAUUCCAGUUAGAAGCAAGUAUGAAAUAAAAUUUAAGCAAGUAGCAAAUGUUGAGUCUUAUCAACACAUUUUAGUUUCGCACUCAAAUGUGCUUUUGAUAUUUUCUAUUCGUAAGUUGUGAAAGAUGAACUUCUGUUUCACAUGUAAACAUUCUCAUCCAGCAUGCAUCAUGCAAUCAUGCUAUAGCUUGUGUUUCUUUAGGCAGAAGUCUAGCUUUCUGUUAUUCAAAAUCCUCUUGUAUUCAUUUUCUUUUCAAAGUCUUGUUAGAUGAAGGCUUUGGAAAUUAGAACUCCACGUCAUAUUCAUUUCUAUGUUCUUAAUAAUAAGCCUUCCUAAUUCCUAUUAUGGUGCUGAAAUGGGUAUUUUGUCCAUGCAGUGAAACAGCUUAUUCAGAUGA
rnacentral:misc_RNA from 1 species